GAACGCCAGUCCGUUGGCGGGUGAACUGCGUAGAACAUCGCAGGAACACUUUCUCCGAUUUCAAACACAAAAAUGCCUUCAAUAUUUCGGUGAUCAAGUGAAACUUCUGCAGCAGAAGAGGUGCUGCACCAUGAGCCUGGCCAAUGAGGUGUGAAAGAGAGAAUGGUUAGUGCCAGUCUUCACAAUGACGAGGUGGGGCUUGCACUGGUUAAACAGGGCCACCUCAGUGGAACCAUAUUCUAACCCGACACAAAGCAAUCGAGAAGGACACAGGGAGACAUUGCUACACGAGGACACGAAUCCUCUCAAACUGUGGCGCCACCUGUUCCCACAUGCAGUGUCGAGACGGAGCUUCCUGUUUUACAUUAUUUGAAAAGCCUAUUUGUGAUUUUCAUUUAACAGAUCAAUAAACCAAAGUGUUUAGUAGGUGGGACGUUUGAAUUUGUCCUGACCAUCGCAAAUAAAGAAUGGAAUGUUUCACAA